rnacentral:rRNA from 1 species
AAAACAUCGCCUCCCGCAAAAAUCAACGUAUAGGAGGUCCUGCCUGCCCAGUGACUAUAAGUUAAACGGCCGCGGUAUUUUGACCGUGCAAAGGUAGCGCAAUCACUUGUCUUUUAAAUGAAGACCCGUAUGAAUGGUGGAACGAGGGCUUAACUGUCUCCCCCCUCUAGUCAAUGAAAUUGAUCUACCCGUGCAGAAGCGGGUAUAAUAAUACAAGACGAGAAGACCCUUUGGAGCUUAAGAUAUAAAGACCAACUAUGUCAAAAGUCCUAAAAAAGACUAAACUAAAUAGCUCUGGUCCCAAUCUUCGGUUGGGGUGACCGCGGGAGAAAACACAGCUCCCAUGCGGACUGGGGAGACCCCCUAAAACUAAGAGAGACAUCUCUAAGGCACAGGACAUCUGACCAAAUAGAUCCGGCUACAUGCCGACCAACGGACUAAGUUACCCUAGGGAUAACAGCGCAAUCCCCUUUCAGAGUCCAUAUCGACAAGGGGGUUUACGACCUCGAUGUUGGAUCAGGACAUCCUAAUGGUGCAGCCGCUAUUAAGGGUUC